rnacentral:rRNA from 1 species
GACGAACGCUGGCGGCGUGCCUAAUACAUGCAAGUCGAACGCUUUGCUUUUCACCGGAGCUUGCUCCACCGAAAAGCAAAGAGUGGCGGACGGGUGAGUAACACGUGGGCAACCUGCCCAACAGAGGGGGAUAACACUUGGAAACAGGUGCUAAUACCGCAUAAUUUGUUUUUCCCGCAUGGGAGAAUAAUAAAAGAACGCCUUACGGUGUCACUGUUGGAUGGGCCCGCGCUGCAUUAG